rnacentral:rRNA from 1 species
GGUGAACGCUGGCGGCGUGCUUAAGACAUGCAAGUCGAACGGCAGUCUUCGGACUGUAGUGGCGCACGGGUGAGUAACGCGUAACUGACCUACCCCAAAGUCGCGGAUAACGAUUCGAAAGAAUCGCUAAUACGUGAUGUGCUGUCAGAUUGUGUUCUGCCAGUAAAGGUUGAUUGCUUUGGGAUGGGGUUGCGUUCCAUCAGCUAGUUGGUGGGGUAAAGGCCCACCAAGGCGACGAUGGAUAGCUGGCCUGAGAGGGUGGCCGGCCACAGGGGAACUGAGACACGGGUCCCACUCCUACGGGAGGCAGCAGUUAGGAAUCUUCCACAAUGGGCGAAAGCCUGAUGGAGCGACGCCGCGUGAGGGAUGAAGGUCUUCGGAUCGUAAACCUCUGAAUCAGGGACGAAAGACACUUCGGUGGGAUGACGGUACCUGAGUAAUAGCACCGGCUAACUCCGUGCCAGCCGCCGCCGUAACAC